rfam:Gossypium raimondii Chr08_contig_414, whole genome shotgun sequence.
AUUCUGUGAUGAGGGCACUUCCGUAAUAAUUAUUUGUAUCUUUCCCAUGCCUCAACAAAGACUCAUUAUCCAUUUGUUGGAAAGCAGUGAUCUCGUUCCUCAACUU